GAAAAAGUUAGAACUUGGUCAACUUCCUCCACACGUCUACGGAUUGGACCUGCCACUUUAGAUUUUGAGAUUGCUAAUCGUCUUAUGGAUAAAUCUGAGUGGGUUGAUAGCUUGGAGAUUGACGCCGCAAUGUACGUUUUCCGGGAGAGAACAUCUUUGAAACGAUGGAGACCUCAUCGUGUCGCCUUCAUGACUG